rnacentral:rRNA from 1 species
UUGGAGGGCAAGUCUGGUGCCAGCAGCCGCGGUAAUUCCAGCUCCAAUAGCGUAUAUUAAAGUUGUUGCAGUUAAAAAGCUCGUAGUUGAAUUUCGGGAUCAAUACGUCGGUCGUGCCUCUGGUAUGAACUGGUGUUAUUGAUUCCUCCUUUCUGAUAAACCAUGAUGUCAUUAAUUUGGUGUUGUGGGGAGUCAGGACUGUUACUUUGAAAAAAUUAGAGUGUUUAAAGCAGGCCUACGCUUGAAUACAUUAGCAUGGAAUAAUGAAAUAGGACGUUCGAACCUAUUUUGUUGGUUUCUAGGAUCAACGUAAUGAUUAAUAGGGAUAGUUGGGGCAUUAGUAUUCAAUUGUCAGAGGUGAAAUUCUUGGAUUUAUUGAAGACUAACUACUGCGAAAGCAUUUGCCAAGGAUGUUUUCAUUAAUCAAGAACGAAAGUUAGGGGAUCGAAGACGAUCAGAUACCGUCGUAGUCUUAACCAUAAACUAUGCCGACUAGGGAUCGGAUGAUGUUAAUUUUUUAAUGACUCAUUCGGCGCCUUACGGGAAAC